UAAGUCUGAUGUGAAAGCCCCCGGCUCAACCGGGGAGGGUCAUUGGAAACUGGGGAACUUGAGUGCAGAAGAGGAGAGUGGAAUUCCACGUGUAGCGGUGAAAUGCGAUAGAGAUGUGGAGGAACACCAGUGGCGAAGGCGACUCUCUGGUCUGUAACUGACGCUGAGGAGCGAAAGCGUGGGGAGCGAACAGGAUUAGAUACCCUGGUAGUCCACGCCGUAAACGAUGAGUGCUAAGUGUUAGGGGGUUUCCGCCCCUUAGUGCUGCAGCUAACGCAUUAAGCACUCCGCCUGGGGAGUACGGUCGCAAGACUGAAACUCAAAGGAAUUGACGGGGGCCCGCACAAGCGGUGGAGCAUGUGGUUUAAUUCGAAGCAACGCGAAGAACCUUACCAGGUCUUGACAUCCUCUGACAAUCCUAGAGAUAGGACGUCCCCUUCGGGGGCAGAGUGACAGGUGGUGCAUGGUUGUCGUCAGCUCGUGUCGUGAGAUGUUGGGUUAAGUCCCGCAACGAGCGCAACCCUUGAUCUUAGUUGCCAGCAUUCAGUUGGGCACUCUAAGGUGACUGCCGGUGACAAACCGGAGGAAGGUGGGGAUGACGUCAAAUCAUCAUGCCCCUUAUGACCUGGGCUACACACGUGCUACAAUGGACAGAACAAAGGGUAGCGAAACCGCGAGGUUAAGCCAAUCCCACAAAUCUGUUCUCAGUUCGGAUCGCAGUCUGCAACUCGACUGCGUGAAGCUGGAAUCGCUAGUAA
rnacentral:rRNA from 1 species